rnacentral:sRNA from 1 species
UUGUUUUAGAUUUAUGAGUUUGACUGUCCCUUUGGUAUCUUUUUAUAAUGAUUAUUAAGGCAGAACAACGCUACAAAAGAGGGACGAAAGAUACCAAAGGGACAGUCAAACUCAUAAAUCUA